UUUUUUUUUUUUAUUGUUUUAUAGAGUGGUGCCUCUGGGUAAGUCUUCCGUGAGAUGGGUAUUUCUUUCUUCUCCCUCUUCCUCUUGACAAGGGUUUCGAGGCUCCGAUUUUAUUCUCUAAAAAGGGCGACAACCCAGUGAAAUCGCAUCCGAUCUCUGAGACAAAUUCCGUGGAGUCGCGUUCAUGCGUUCCGCUCUAUCUACUUCUUCGGUUUUGAUUUUGGAGGGGGAUAUAUUUACAGGGGUUCGUUUUUAAUGUAUGAAACAUCGAAGCAGCAACAAAGGAGGGGACUUUGGGAAGGGUUGAAGAUCUAGAUUUUGUUUAAGCUUUUGAGCUGGAAAUCUGGCGUCUUGAGAAGGGUUUGCCUGGUUUCAAUCUGAGGAAUGGGUAAUUUUACUUUUAUGGUGGUGGAGAAAAAUGGAUUAAAUUUCGAGGAGAUACAUUGAUAUCUAAGUCCUUGAAUUGUUGGGGGUAUAGUUUUUGAGUUCGAGAAAUUAGGUUUAGUUUUUUUUUUUUUAAAUUUUUUUCGUGCAGGGUUGUUGAUUCAAGAAGGGUUGAGAUCUAGGGUUUCUGUAUUGGUUUUGCGGUUGUAUGAUAUAUAGAAUUGUGUUGUGAUGGAUAUGGAACUCGUAGGGGACGUGGCUUCCCUUGACCCAGACUUGCUUCAGCUUCCGGAGGUAUCUCCUUUGGCGCUUAAAUCGAACCCUCUCCUUGCAGAAGAGCUCUUUUCCCAGUGGCUUUCACUUCCAGAGACCAGUCGACUGGUAAAAUCUUUGCUUGAUGAUGUGAAGGCGGGUGCUGCCUUAAAUGUCCCUGGCAGUUGUACUAGUCCAAAUGCUGCUGCAAGCAAUUCAUUGCCUUCCAUGUUUCCUGCUGGAAGUGCACCUCCACUUUCACCAAGAAGCACAUCAGGUUCACCACGUGUCAUGAAACAGAGGACGGGGCCUUCUUCUUUUGGUUCUCCACUAAAAUUAGUCAGUGAGCCUGUGAGAGAAGUUAUUCCUCAGUUCUACUUUAAGAAUGGCCGGCCUCCUCCGAAAGAACUGAAAGAGCAAUGCUUGUCUAGAAUUGAUCAGCUUUUUUCUGGUCACAUGGAUGGACUGCAGGUUCAUGAGUUCAAGGCAGUUACAAAGGAAAUAUGCAAGCUACCAUCAUUUUUUUCCAGUGCUCUUUUCAGAAAGAUUGACACUGGUUGCAUUGGGAUUGUGACAAGGGAUACAUUUGUCGAUUAUUGGGUCAAUGGCAAUAUGCUGACAAUGGACAUAGCAACCCAGAUAUUUACCAUCUUAAAGCAACCAGAUCGCAAAUAUCUUACUCAGGAUGAUUUUAAACCAGUUCUUAGAGAACUUUUAGCAUCUCAUCCAGGGUUGGAGUUCUUACAAAGCACACCUGAGUUUCAGGAAAGAUAUGCUGAAACUGUUAUAUACAGAAUAUUUUACUACAUAAAUAGGUCAGGAAAUGGCCAACUUACCCUCAGGGAGCUGAAACGUGGGAACCUGAUUGCUGCAAUGCAACAUGUAGAUGAGGAAGAGGAUAUUAACAAAGUUUUGAGAUACUUCUCUUAUGAACACUUCUAUGUUAUAUACUGCAAGUUUUGGGAGCUGGAUACGGAUCAUGAUUUCUUAAUUGAUAAGGAGAACCUUAUCAGAUAUGGUAACCAUGCUCUUACAUACAGGAUCGUUGACAGAAUCUUUUCACAGGUUCCAAGAAAGUUUACUAGCAAGUUUGAAGGGAAGAUGGGUUAUGAAGAUUUUGUGUACUUUAUGCUGUCAGAGGAGGAUAAAUCAUCUGAACCAAGCCUUGAGUAUUGGUUCAAGUGUAUAGAUUUGGAUGGAAAUGGAAUUCUUACGCCCAAUGAAAUGCAGUUCUUUUAUGAAGAGCAGUUACAUAGAAUGGAGUGCAUGGCUCAAGAGCCAGUGCUCUUUGAGGACAUUUUAUGCCAGAUGGUUGACAUGGUUGGACCAGAGAACGAGUCCUAUUUCACACUACGUGACUUAAAAGGAUGCAAACUAUCUGGAAAUGUCUUCAAUAUCCUUUUUAAUCUUAAUAAGUUCAUGGCUUUUGAAACACGUGAUCCAUUUCUCAUUCGUCAGGAACGUGAAGAUCCAACUUUGACAGAGUGGGAUCGCUUUGCACACAGAGAAUAUAUUAGGCUUUCCAUGGAAGAAGAUGGUGAAGAUGCCUCCAAUGGCAGUGCAGAAGUUUGGGACGAAUCACUUGAGGCUCCUUUUUGAGUUCAAAUCAGAUCAUAUUUGGGUUAUUUAUCACCACUGUGAAGCUUAAUGGAAGUAAUGACAUACUAUAUAAAGUCAGCUUGUCUUUAUGUUAACAUCAGAUGUAAGACAUAGGACAUCAAUGGUAAAAUAAAAGAACCCAAUGAGGAUGACCCCAAGUAUGAGGAGUGGGGCUCAGAAUGUCAUGGUGGUGUCUUAGAUUUGCAUUCCAUGCUUCCCCUCAUAAGCAGGAGGUUCUUAUUUCUUAGGAUGGCAAAGGAGAUAUUGAAUGCAGCAACCAAUCUUAGGGUGAUUAACUGAUUAAGGGGUGGGGACAGAGAAAGGUGCAUAUGAGGUCUACUGACCUUACCACGGAGAGCCUGCAGUUAUGACAGGGAUCUGGACAAUGCAUGUUUACUUGAACCUGGGCCAUUGAAUGAACACUGCAUGGAAAUACUCUUUCGGACAAAUUUAGCCACAGCAUUGAACCUUAUCCUAGGAAGAUUUGAGCUGUGGCCAAUGCAUCUCUGAUGCCCAUAAGUUUUCUGAAGGUGGUAUUCAGACCUUUGUGCAAAUGAAUUGAACCGCACAAUGGAGUUCUGCAUUAGAAGUCCGUACUUAGAAACAUCUGAUUCCUCAUUGGCAAAGGAGGAUGGGCACUUGCUGACCAGUGAUUAAUCAUUCAGGUAACAUAGUUGCAGAAUAUUACUAGUGAUUUUUUCCUUGGUCUUUUUUGUAAGGAAAUCAGUUCCAUGGCACCUUGCCUUUUUUUUUUAUCCUUCUCAUCUUCCAUGGUGGUUUGUGGAAGUGCGGGCAGGCGUUGUCUUUUUUUUUUUUCUUUUUACUGCACUGUUUUUUUUUUUUUUGGCUCGGAGGGUAUGUCUUGGUCAUAUUUUGUCGGUAUCAGAGUUCCUAUUUCUGUCGUUAUUGGAUUUGUGUUGAUAGAAAAAAAAAAAAAAAAAACAUUUUAUCAUUGUAUUUUGAUCUUUGAAAUGUCAUGUCCUUUGUUGUCUAAUAAAAACAGAAGCAUUGUCAAUAUCUGGCAAUUAUUUUCAA